AGGGACUGCGGGCUGCAGCUGCUCCUGGGUGGCCUCAGGGCCGCGUUUGCCCUUAAAUCUGUGUUCUCCCAGCUGCUACACUAACUAUGGCCCUGCUCAUCACAGCAUCAGAGGGUUGCCCAUAAAAAUUUCCUCAAAGCAACUCUGAAGUAAUUCUGGACACUUACAGCAAUAGUUUAUAAAACAGGAAAUAGUGGCCUUUAUGGAGUAAGGUACCAAGUGUCUGGACUGUCUCAGUAGCACAGAAAUCUUGACAACACAGACUGCCAUGAGCACAAAGGGAGCCAUGAAGCUGGGCUGCCUCCCAGAGCACGCCCACCUUUUUCAUGUUGCCACCAAGCAGUGAGUAAGGAGGUUUGUUGACGUGGCUCCAGUCCACCGGAACGCGCGUCAUGUCGUACAGUUGGAAGAUGAUUAAAGCAUCAGAAAGGUCACUAAACCAAGAGCAAAACAAUGGGUUUCAGCACAAAAGCACAGAUUGACAACGAAACUGGGCUACUACAAUGCUCUGCCUGCCUUUGCAGAAUGACUGAAGAGAGAAUGAUACACUCUGUCACCAGCCCCAAGGAACCUUUCAGCCCCCGUGGCAGGCAGCUGACACACAGCAAACAGUGGCUGGCAGUUAUCAGGCAGCUAGUAAGGUGAAAGCAUAAGGACAAAAAUGCUCUUCAGUGAGUAAGAGCAGUACAGAUAAUUCUUCAAGCAUAAAUAUGAAAAGAUGCAGGCAGAGAAUGGAGAAAAAGAAGGAGCAGAGAUGGUGAAAACCAAACAUAUAGAAAAGCUGUCAGACAACACCAGUGAGUCUCUACUUAUGCUAACAUCUCUUAGUAGGCUGAUACAUGUACACAGUGCUCUUCUCCUUGGUCUGUCAUUCCAGCACCUGCAGGAUAUAAACUACUUGAGCUGCACAUGUCCUGAUAGUUGUUUAACAGCAACUCAUGAAUUAUCUUCCAUGCAUGUAUCUUACUCCCUUUAGAAUUUCUACUCUUUGUUUGGUCUCAACAUCCUGAGUGAAUGGGUUCAUUGCUCUAUUACUUAUUGUAAAGUUAGCUAUUUUUAUUCUAAUCUCCCUGACUCUCUACUGAGCAUCACGUGAUACCUUUAUUGGCAGAACCUGGAUAACUCCCUCUUCACUUCUCCAUACUACUCACAGUCUUCCAAAUCUCUAACAUACAGCUUGCCAAUAGUUUCUUUACCAAGUAAAGACUCCUAAUAUUUAAGACUUCUUGCCUAAAAUGAUCCUGUUCUCCCCAUCAUGACUGAUUACAAGCAUGGUUGUUUGAUUUUCUGAGCUGUACAAGUUACACAUCACCCCUCAGAAUGGCAGUAAAUAAAGCAGAUAUGAACAUUCACAACAGCAGUGCAAUCUGGAAAAAAGGGUUAGCUGCUAUAUAAUUUCUUACACUUUCUGUGUGCUCUGAUAAAUCUGUAAACAUCCUGUCAAGCAUACAAAACUGUACAGUUAUUUAUUAACACUGGCAUAACAAAGUUGAUCAUAUUAACAAAAGAUAGAAAAGCUCUAAGUUUAGUUCUCUUAAAACAUAAGAUCUGAUUGAAU